rnacentral:lncRNA from 1 species
AGCCCACCCUUGGAGAACCACUGGGCUAUAGAAUGAUGUCAAGGGCUGGAGAGGGAGGCUACAGAGUGGGUCUAGGUCCAGGUACAGUCUCAGAACCACACUGCAAAACUGGCUUAGUCAGGUAGCUGCUGUAUCUGCUGCUUCCACUGUGAACUCAAAAACCACAUUGCCUGUGCUGCAGGCCGGAAAGCUGCUGAACCAGGAAGCUGUGCUGAUGCUGCUGACUGCCCCUGAGGUUAGAGAUUGACUAGACAUAGUGCCACUGUCAUCCCUGCUGGAGAAGGUCCGAAGCACCUCCACCUCUGUGCUUCCAGAGGGGCACUGUGGUGGCCACUUAAAAUGCUCAGGCUAUACCAUGCACUAGAGCAUCUACCUGGGCAAGGGAUAUGCUGUAUGACACUCUCCUGAUGCUGGGCAUGGCUGUGAGCCAAAGCACCCAGGCAGCCCUGCCAUCAGAAGGGUAAACCACGGACACCUGAUGCCUUCCUGAAGGAAGAGCACUACGCCUGCCAAACCAUCAAGCGUUGAUGCUCCAGCGCCUUCUACCCGUGGUUCUCCAGCCUCAGCAGAAGAGAGAGAAAUUGAUGACCCUGUCGUUGUAGCAUCCCCAUCACCCAGCAAUUAAUUUUAGUUCAAUGCUUCAAACGCUCUUCAGGCGCAGUGUGCGUUCAGCUGUGUCAGCUAAUGCAAAUGGGGGAUCUCAGAAGUCUUAAUGAAGUAACUAUCCCUGAACACUGGGAUCAAUACUCAGCAUCCAGCUGUCAAAUCAACACCAAGCGUUUCACUCGUCGCCCAGCCUAGAGUGCAAUGGCGCUAUUUCGGCUCAUUAUAACCUCCGCCUCCCGGGUUCAAGCAAUUCUUCUGCUUCAGCGUCCCAAGUAGCUGGGAUUACAGGCCUUCAGUUGCAAAGUUCUCCAUUGUCAGAUUACGCUGCCUGAUGGGCAUGAAAAGUCCACAAAAGAGAAUUUUCUGAUGUGAGAAUGGAGGGUGUUGCCUGCAACUACCCCAGAUCCCUGCGGUGGCAGUUUAAGCCGCCUCCUGGAGCAGAUUGUUAAGCUGAUGCGAGUCUGGGCUCUGCCUCACCACUUGUCUCAGAGACAGAGUCUUGCUCUGUCACCUAGGCUGGAGUGCAGUGGUGCCAUCACAGCUCACUGCAGCCUCGACCUCCCCGUGCUCAAGUGAUCCUCACACCUCAGCCUCCCGAGUAGCCGCGAUCACAAGUUAAACAAACACAGUUCUUUACAUCAAUGCUUCCGUCCCUGGCCAUCUGGUCUCCUGUCCCCUCCAGACCCAAAACCAUGGGCUGGGCUGCAGCAAAAUGAGGGUGUACUCAGUGCACUGAGGCCCAUGUACCAUGAGAGAUGGAGAAAGCCUUGGCCGGAGUUUAAGGAUUUGGGGCUGGGCACAGUGGCUCGUGCCUGUAAUCCUAGCACUUUGGGAGGCCAAGGCAGGAGGAUCACUUGAGGCCAAGAGUUUGAGACCAGCCUGAGCAACAUAGUGAGACUCUCAUUUCUAAAAAUAAAAAAGUUAGGCCUGGCACAGUGGCUCAUGCCUAUAAUCCCAGCAGUUUGGGAAGCUGAAUCAAGAGGAUCACUUGAGGCCAGGAGUUUGAGCCCAGCCUGGUCAACAUAGUGAGACUUUAUCACUACAAAAAGUUUUUAUUUAUUUAUUUUUUUUGAGACAGGGUCUCGAUUCAUCACUUAGGCUGGAGUGGAGUGUGCAAUCACAGCUCACAGCUCACAGCAGCCUCGACCUCCUGGGUUCAAGCCAUCCUCCCACCUCAGCCUCCUGAGUAGCUGGGACUACAGGCAUACACCACCAUGUCUGGCUAAAUUUUUGUACUUUUUGUAGAGACAGGGUUUCGCCAUGUUGCCCAGGCUGGUCUCUAGCUCCUGGGCUCAAGCAAUCUGCCUGCCUCAGCCUCCCAGAGGCCUGGAACUACAGGCGUGAGCCGCUGCUCUUGGCCAUUUUUAAUUUAAGAGACAGAGUCUCGCUUUGUUACCCAGGCUGGAGUGCAGUACCCUUACUGCAGCCUUGAACUACUGGGCUCAAGCCAUCCUCCCACCUCAGCCUCUCAAGUAGCUGGGACUACAGGUGUGUGUCCCCAUGCCCAGCUGACUGAGCUACCACCAUGCCACUGCAUGCCAGUUGUGACAAAAAUGUCCAGUGCUAGGAGACUCAUAAGUUGGAGAGAAACGGCCUGAUUUAUAGAAACUGAGCGAGACUCCGGACCACCUGAUGCAGAGAAACCUGUGACCUGAAAAAGUCUAUUUGUGUUUCCUCUAGGAAUCUCGGCCAAGAAGACAGGGACAAGCUCCCAACUCUGACUACCCCUUUUACAGGGAAAAAAAAAAAAUCCCGUGCCUUCUUUGCAGCAAGUGACAAAUCCUUGUCAUAUCGAGAUGGCUUUUCCUCCUCCUCUUCAAACAUCUUUUAGCAGCAACAGCAGCUCAAGUAACUGGAAUUAUUUCAGAGUUAAAAUGCAGGCUUUGUAGACCCUCUUAGACAGACAGAUUCAAUUUCAAAGGAAACUUCUUUGGCUGGGUACUCAGUGAGUGUUACACAGGGAUUUGGGGAGUUAAUAUUCACUGUUUCUGUUGUUGGAGAAAAGGAAAGCAGAGUUGCUCUUUCUCAUUACUCUCCCCAACGCACAUCUGUUUCCUCUCGUAUCUUGGAAUUAGGAAGAUGGAGGAGACUUAAGUGGUGACCCACCUAGCCUCCUGAUGCAUGCUGGGCUCACUUUAAAACUCCCAAAACAGAUGGCAGUUGAUCACGGUUUUAAAGAUCCCAGCAUAGACUUUCUGCAGCCUCCCUUGUUAGCCACUAUCAGCGCUUAACAUUCUGUCAUCUGAAUAACUCCUUAAAAAUGAUAGCAAUGGUAGUAGAAAUUUAAAAGGAACCUCCCAAAAAACAUGCAAAAGCUUACCACCCCAGUAAAUCACCCGCAACAAUGUCGCAACAGUUUAAAUUUACUGCAGAGAGAGCUGAAGUUUAGGAGACACAGCUUUAUAAUAUUUUUGAGAGAUAGUUGAGUGCAAAUGAGUCCUGUUCCUCUUGCAUCAGGGCCUGCUCCACUGAGUCAUCCUGCCUUCAGAAGCUUCCAGCUAAGUGGCAGGCCCCGGCCAUAGGCUCCCUGUGUCCCCAGCCUCCAGAGAACACACAAUGUUCUCAUCGCCCUUAGCUCCAUUCCAGAAGGGGCCUGCAGUUCUGCAGCUUAUCAGGGGUCUACUGGGAAGUGAGAUGUCACUGUCCCUUUCUGGCCCUGCAUUGUCUGUGAGUGGCUCUCCUGGAUUAAGAGUUGGCAAAGUAUGGCCAGUGGCCAGGACUGGCCUGCUGCCUGUUUUUGUUUAACCCGUGAGCUAAGAAUAGUUUUUACCUAUUUUAAGUAGUUGAAAAAAAAAUCAAGAGAAGAAUACUAUUUCGUGAUAUGUGAAAAAUCACAUGAAAUUCAAAUGUAAGUGUCCAUAAAUAAAGUCUUACUGGAAGACAGCCUUGCUCAUUUAUUUCUGUCUCAUUCGCUACUGUCUGCGGCUGCCUUCACGCUACAAUGGCAGUACUGAGUAGUUGUGACGGGCACUGUAUGACAGCAAAUCCUAAAGUAUUUGCCAUCUGGCCCUUCACAGAAAAAGUUUGCUGACCCUGGCUUUCGAGCCUCUCAUCACUUUGGGAUUCAUCUCUUUACUUUCCCCAGAGUGAGGGAGGCAGUAACGUUCCUCGUGAGUGCUUAGUCCUUGCUCCCAAGGCAAUAAACCCCCCAAAACCCCUCUCUUUCUGCAGUCUUCUUGUUGGCUUGAUAGUGGUAGGGCUGGUUCAGCCAAGGUCACAGUUGGAGGGCAGGAAGGGGGUACAGCGAAGGACGACGGGGGUGUCUUCUCUAGUCCUGUUUGCAGCAAUCUUUAGAAUGCAAAAUAAUUAAGAAGAAACUGCUGUUUUUUGGCUGUGGGAUGCAAUUCGAAUUCUGGAAAAUUAGAAUCAACAGAACGUGGGAUGUGGGAGUCCAGGACAACUCCCCUGUUUUGGCUGUGUUUGGUGCCAUGUGUGGAGGUGGGAGAGAUGGGAGAAAGAAGAGGUUUGGGCAGGGGGAGGGAAGAAUCAAGAUUCUGCUUUGAAUGGACGAAGGUUGUGGUUUGUUGAGAGGACAACUAGAUAACUGGCCACUUGAAGAUGGGAUGGAAGUCUGAAUCUGCAAGGAGUCACAGAUGAAUGGUAUGGAAAGCUGUGGUAGUGGAUGAGAUCAUACGAACGGUGGGUGCAGAUGGAAACGAGAAGCCAUCUAAGGACUCGUAAUGGGCUCCUCAACACUUGGAAGUUGGGUAGAGGAAGAAGACCGCAUGAGGGCAGGAUCCUGAAUGUUCCACUCACUGCUAUAUCCCUAGCACUGGUUACAGUGCUUGGCACACACUGCAUGCUCAAUAAAUUAUUUGUUGCCCAUAUAAGUGAACGUGAAUUCCAAUGGACUAGCAUCUUCCACUCUCAACAUAAACAAAAACAACAGCAACAUUGCAAUUCCCUAUCUUCUCUUCCCUGAUCUCUUUCUCAUUCUGUCUCUCCUUCCCUUUUCCUCUGCCUUCCUGUUGCCUUCUCUGAUAUGAGUUAAAUUUAUCAGGGGUGUCCAGGUACCCGGCUAUUCUUGAGCAUUCCUUAUCUGGCUA